rnacentral:rRNA from 1 species
AGAACAACAGGGAUUGCCUCAGUAACGGCGAGUGAAGCGGCAACAGCUCAAAUUUGAAAUCUGGCUCUUUUAGAGUCCGAGUUGUAAUUUGUAGAAGAUGCUUCGGGUGCGGCCCCAGUCUAAGUUCCUUGGAAGAGGACGUCAUAGAGGGUGAGAAUCCCGUAUGUGACCAGGUGCCCGCGCCCAUGUGAAGCUCUUUCGACGAGUCGAGUUGUUUGGGAAUGCAGCUCUAAAUGGGUGGUAUAUUUCAUCUAAAGCUAAAUAUUGGCCAGAGACCGAUAGCGCACAAGUAGAGUGAUCGAAAGAUGAAAAGCACUUUGGAAAGAGAGUUAAACAGUACGUGAAAUUGUUGAAAGGGAAGCGCUUGCAAUCAGACUUGCGCGCCGUCGAUCAUCCCAGGUUCUCCUGGGUGCACUCGGCGGCGCUCAGGCCAGCAUCGGUUCUGGUGGUGGGAUAAAGGCCUUGGGAAUGUAGCUCCUUUCGGGGAGUGUUAUAGCCCUCGGUGCAAUGCCGCCUACCGGGACCGAGGACCGCGCUUCGGCUAGGAUGCUGGCGUAAUGGUUGUAAGCGACCCGUCUUGAAACACGGACCAAGGAGUCUAACAUCUAUGCGAGUGUUUGGGUGUCAAACCCAUACGCGUAAUGAAAGUGAACGGAGCUAAGAACCCUUUAGGGUGCAUUAGCGACCGAUCCUGAUGUCUUCGGACGGAUUUGAGUACGAGCAUAGCUGUUGGGACCCGAAAGAUGGUGAACUAUGCCUGAAUAGGGUGAAGCCAGAGGAAACUCUGGUGGAGGCUCGCAGCGGUUCUGACGUGCAAAUCGAUCGUCAAAUUUGGGCAUAGGGGCGAAAGACUAAUCGAACCA